CAUAGUUCAACAGAAUUACUACACAGGCGAAAUAAGAGCGUUCAGGUUCACUAACUCUGAUGCUGAUACUGCAAUGAGUAUCAACUUAUGUUCUACUAGGAAUAGGUAAACAGUCGUGGUUCCACACACCUCAUCAUGCCCUAUUGCAGGUAUCACAUCAUGCCCUAUUGCAGGCAUCAACUGGGAUCGCGAUGAAGUAGCAUGGUGUUCAGAUCAGAUGGAAGCCAAACAAUGCUACAUGGCAGCGGAAGAUUGACCUCAGCGCUGCUUCCUCCUAUUUGUUCGCCACUGUUUCAGGACGAACUGGACAGCUUCCUUCAGGG
rnacentral:lncRNA from 1 species